GCAUGCUGAAGGGGAGGGCAGACGGGUGGUGAGAGGUCAGAGGCCAACACACAGUCUGUCCCCCGAAAUCCGCGUGGUGGGCCAAGACUGCUGACACACCCUUGUACAGGGGACGAGCUGAAGAUCAGAGAGGCUGAGUGGCCUGUCCCACGUCACACAGCCAAUACAAGAGCAGAGUCCAGGUUCUGGCUACUACUCUGACCGAGGACAUGCUCUCUGGCUGCUGAGGACAGCUUCCCUACGGGCUGUGUCACCCAGGCCCUGAGGCCAUCCCUGGGCUCCUGGCAGGGUCUGGCCUACGGAGGCAAGCGAAGCUGGGAUAUUUACCCCCGCUCGCCUCCCUCCCUCCCUGCCUCUUCCGCUGGAGGCCCCAGCUGCUCUCCCAGGACCUUCCGCCCCACUCCAGUUUGCUCCGUUUGGACUCUGGAAGUAGGCAGCGCCUGGGGUGGCAAUGGCCCCCCACUGCAGCCAGCCCCGGGGUGUCCCUAUCCCCUGGCGCCCCCCACAGCUGCCUCAUGCUUGUAAAGGGCUCCUCCUCCAACCCUUUCUUGGGCUCCAGUGGAAGGUUCCACGCUUCCCGAAGGACGAGGGUAUGGAAAGGGACCUCAUCGUGUAGCUCAGAUCAGGUCUCGUGAAACACUGCUCUGCUCCCGAACUUCCUCUUAACUGCAAGACCCUCUCGCCCACUGGCCAGAAACACUGAGUUUCCACAAGGACCAAUGGGAGUGGUUCCUUGUCCUCAGCCCGGGCACGGCCUCUGGCCAGCAGACCAUCAGGUCUGACAGUGGGCCUGUCAGGAUGGCGGCCUGGUGCCACUGCUCACGUAUGUCAGCCGUGGCGUGACCUUUGGCCGUGGCUUUAUGGAUGGGUGAAGUCCUCUCGCUGCACCUCAGACCCGAAGCCCCACCUGGUCUGCUUUCCCAGCCAGCUGCAGUCGAAGAGCUGCUGGCUUGAACUCGGGUGGCUCAAACCAGCUCACACCCCGCUCUGCUGAAACUCAGAGUACAAUCUGAAAUGCCUGUCCGCCAAAUGCAAGGGUCAUGCCUAUCCUGGAACCUCCCGUUUCUAGAAAGCACCAAAUGCUCACAGUGAUCAAGAGCUCAGGUAUCUCUUCUCUCAUGGCUGAGACAUUGCCCAAACCUGACAGCCCCAGUGGGGAAAUUAAUGGGCUCUCAGGGCCACCCCAUGAUGACGCGAUGCCCAUGUGUGGUCUCCAGGGUCAGCCACCUGGGUCCCGGUCCCCAUUCCGGGUACAUCCCUGGCCAUGGAGCUCUUGGCAAGUGACUUCUAGGGGUCUCUGUGCCUCAGUGAGCUCAUCUCUUAUCCGAGGAGCUCUGGGGUGGCGACCGAGGUGGGGACAUGCAUGAAGUUCCUCUGCACGUGAGGGGCGCAAGCCUUACCUCCUCAAUAUUCCGAAUCCAGUUCCGGAUGUUGUCAAAGGAUUUCUCGUUGGUGAUGUCAUAGACCAGCAUGAUGCCCUGGGCGGGAAGGGAGACAAACGUGUGCUCUGGACAAGCUGCGAGCUGAGGGGGAGGCCCCAGCAAGGUGGGGUGGCCGAGACCCCAGCAAAACGCCCCUCCUGCCAACUCCCUCCACUCCACCCCUGGGGCCCUUCCUUCUGCUGGACUCCAGGACCGGCUCCUCCCUGGUCGCCCAGGCUCUAGUCCUGCCCACCCCGCCACCAAGGUGACCCUUCACCCUGCAGACCAGACCUCACCACACUCGUGCUUGCAGACAAGCCUUGCGGGCUCCCCAGCACCAGCAGGGCACAUGUGCCCAUGGCCUGGCAGCUCUCGGCGUCCCACCUGCCUCCCAGUCCCAUGUUCCAUGGCCCCAGGGCCCACAGUGCUCCCCUUCACUCAGCCCGCCCUGCCUGAGUCUCCUCCGAGCACCUACUGCGCACCGCGUUCUAUGGUAGGGUCUCGUUGAAGCCUCACAGCCCUCACAGGUGGGUCCGGCUGUCCCCACUCUGCAGACGAGGACCCAGAGGUGUGGGAUGGCCAGGCCCGCCUCCCUUCCCGUGAGAGAGUAAAGGGCGUAACUGGGGUCUGAACCCUGGAUGGCCUGAUCCUGACACUCUUGUGUGUUCCAAUGAGUCCACCCACGGGGCCAGCUUGGAGCGUGGGGCUGGGCGGCACUGAGGCCCCUGAGGGUCCGUUACCCACGUGUGAGCAGGUGGGAGACAGCGCAGGAGUCCCUAAAGAGCUGCAGAGUGAACCCACCUCCACCUGGGCCCGUGACCUUGCCGCCACUGCGAAGGACACGUGUCCCUGUUUGAUACAGAGCAAACUGAGGCCCACAAAAGCACCCUUAAAGAUUCAAGCCCAGGAAAGACUGACCCUGAACAAGUUGGUCACACCAGCUCCCAUUAGGAACCUCCCUGGGCCCUCAUCAGGACCAAGUAACGCCGAGGGCCACCUUCCAGGCACAGGGCCCCAGCUGUCCUGGGCCGGCCUGGCUUACUCCAUGUGCUCAGGCCACCCCCUCCCGACGGCCCGGCCCUGCAUCCGAGACCGCUGGUGCCGGCCAAGACGUCCCUGAGGCUGCCCGAGUCUGCAGAGUGAGAACGUGGGCUGCGGGCACUGGGUGGAGAGCGGCGAGGACGUGUGGUAAGACCUCAGGGACGGGAAAGGAGAGCCCCUGUAAUUCCGAAGCCCCGCCGUGAACCCAAGGAGACACGCAGGGGCCUCGCAGCCUGCCACAACUGAGGCCCCGGCCAGGACCCCUCCGGAAGGCCAUCUGGGGGCCCCCUCUCAGGGGUCUCUUGGGGAGACUGAACGGAGACCACCUGCAGGAUAACCAGGAGCUUGUAGAGGGGCCGUGCUGUCGGCCACUCCCCAGCCAAGGCCAGCUCGAGUACGAGAUCCCGGUGCGCAGACUCCCUAGGUCAAGCACCGCGGAGGCCUCUGGCCGUCAGGGGGCAAGAAACGCCACGAGGUCAUGAGAACUUUCCUCCCUUUUAUCCAGGGACUGGCCCCUCGGGUGGCCCAGGGCUCUGGCCACCACCAGCAAGUUGACACCCCACGCUCCAGAUUCCAAGGUGUCAGAUAUUCACCACCCGAGGGGUGGGGGUGGUGGGUGGAGCUAUCAGGAGCGAGAAGCGCCGAGAAAACACGGGAUCACCCUAUUCCAGGUCCUCCGUGGAAACUCUCCUCGGGGCCCCAAGCGACCACGUUCCCAGCCCCCACUGGGCACGGCUGCCCCUAUCAGCUUGUAAGCUCCCAACGGGACAACGGACACCCAAUGUCCCCAAAUUUGGGACCCAAGAGUCUAGUACCAUGCAGGGAGAGGGCGAUGGCUGCGAUGGGGGCAAUGUUCUCUGAGCUAUCCGGUAAGGUCACCCCUGGCCACACGUGGCUCUGCAGUGCCUAAAAGGUGCGACCAAGGGGCCGGAUUUCUUACUUGCGUCAAUUUACGCUCAAAGAGCCACAUGUGGUCGCUGGCUUUAUAUAUGGGUUCUCUAAGGCUAUAUAUAUCCAAUCUAGGACUGCAAGCCACAAACACCCUGGCUCAGGCCAGCGUCAUCAAGGGCUGGCUGAGGAUGUGGGCACUGGAGACAGCCAAUCGGCACUGGCCCAGUCAUUUCCCCUCUGCGUGAACUGAAGCAGGACAUGGAACCGUGCUAGGCCUUAGGUCCCCUGUCAGUGAAACGUGGACAACCGUGGCACCCAUGCUCCGCUGUUAAUGGCCAAGACCUGGGCCCAGCAGCUGGCACACGAAAGGCCUCAGAGAAUGGGGGCGGUGGUGGGGGGCUAUUUCAGCCCAGAUGGGGAGGGGGCCUACCUGAGGCCACACAGCAGAAGCUCCCCCAGGACCCCGGUUCCCCGAGGCCCCUGCCCCACCAGAGCACAGCCAGGUGGGAAGAAAAUUAGUAAAUAAAUUUUAAUGAGGAGUGCUAAGGUUGCAAUGCACACGAUUGAGUUUCUGUUAUGUUUCAAAAGCUAUGUGGGAUACUCUAAAUACUUAAUGCCUCCGUUCAUUUCUGCCGUCCACCGGUAUUUCCUGAAUACCCACCACAUACCCAGCGUGGUCCCAGGCACGGGGCAUACGGCAGUGACUGAGACGUGGCCCUGCCCUCACAGAGCUUGUGGUCUUGCAGAGGAAACAGGCAUGUAUGCGGUCACAUGACGGGGUGUGCACCGGGCGCCAGAAACGGGGAGACGGCCAUCCGCCCUCGCGGCUGCCCGAAACGGAGUCCUGUUCUCUGUUCCACUUUCCAAGUAAGGAGAUGCAGCUCAGAGGGUGACCCAGGGUGCUGAGCCAGGGGCCAGGGCUCUGCCUCCCGCUCCCCCCAGACCCUGAGCGCUCCGCUGUGUGCACACCUCACAUGAGCUCGACCCACUCGGAGGGCAGGAACCCGGCCUAUUCCGGGUCCUCCUCCGCAUCUAGCUCAGGCCUGGCCUAGAGAAGGUGCUCCGUAAAAGCACCUGAGGGAUAAGGAACGAGUCUUCCUGUGAUAGCACCCUGCCUCUGGCCCGGGGGACCGUACAACGGCCAACUGCCCAGAGCAAGUCAACUCCUGGAUGAUGUUCAAGUUUUCAGUAGCAAAUUCCACAGAGACUGACACAGGCCACGUGAGCGCUCCUAAGUGUCGGGGCAUGCUAUCUCCAAUUUCACUGACCUCACCUGGAAGAACCGGCUUCCUCUGUCUUCCCUCAUUCCCAAAGAAUUAACCGUCCUUAAACCCUGCAUUGUCCCUGAAGCAGAAGAGGAUGUAUGUCGGGGUGGGGGCAGGGCACAUAGCCUUUUCCUAAAAUUAACCCGGGACCGAGGACCCCGGAGGAGCCCGAGCACGGACUCCCCAGAAGCAUCCGGGUUUGGGCAUUCACGAGAGUGAUGUUCGCGUGGACUUUAAGAAAAGAAACAAAAACCAGUCCCUACCAUUGCGCCCCUGUAGUAGGCCGUUGUGAUCGUCCGAAACCGUUCCUGACCAGCUGUGUCCCUAGAGGAGAAGAAGGGAGAGUGGUGACAGCAAACACCAAUCGUCAUCACCGUGGGAACAACGGGUACUCACCCGGGAUGGACGCGGGUUGUUUCUUAAUUCACUGUCCGACUGUGGGACAGCACCUUUGUCCUCUACUCUUACAGAGGAGGAAACAGUGACUCAGGGGUGUCAAAGACCUGCCCCAUAGGGCAUAAAGUCAUUCCCUCCAAUGACCCCUCUGCUGCACCUCUGUUUCCUGGGGAUUCUUCCCAGAGUUUCCGGCUCACAGAAGAGCCGAGAUCGGAUGUCAGCUGUGAAAAUCCAGGGCCAUGCAGGCAUGGAAGGGGCCGGUCACAUGGCUGGAGGGGUGUACCUUCAUGCUUGCUUGCUGUCUUGGCAGAAGCCAGGGAGCAAGUCUUCCCUCAUUGGUGGAGGGCGACACCUGGGUGAGACACAUCGUGCCCAGCCCAGCUCCUGGCACAGGGGGCAUUCAGUGCUCGGUGUAAAGAUGGCCUGACUGAUUGGUGGCGGGGCCAGGGCAAGCCCCAUGUCUUUUGUCUCUGGAUUCGGGGUUCCUUUCGUGACCCUGCGAGGGCUCUGCAUGGCUGGGCUGCACGGAGGCCCCUCAAUCUGGGGCUCGGCUGGCUUUCUGACACUAACGGCAGGUGACGUUAGUGGUUAGGAACAGUCAUUUCUAUCCUCUGCCAUGGCCUCAGUCUAGAGAAGCGUUAAGAGAGUCACUGACCCCAUCGAGGCUGCUGAGAGCAGAAGUAGGAAGAGAGGAGAAGAGGAAAGUGAAACUUCUGCCAGCUGCCGCCGUGUCACCUCGGACUCCGGGCACUGAGGCUGCUGGGGAGCCACGUGGUAAAGAUGGAGAUGCUUCUAAGGCUUGUAACUUAUGAGGCAGCCAGAGACCAGAGACCAGAGACCAGAGACCAGAGACGGGCAGAUUACCAGCUGACGAGGCAUCAGGCCUCAUCCAGAUUUCCACUCUGGAGUCAGACCAGAGGCGAACACCACGGGAGCCGAGGGGGCGCCCUGGGCAGGCAGAGCGAUGCUCACGCUCUGAGACCCGGGGGAGGGAGACGGGCUGCGGGGAAGGUGGCUUCGUGGCCCCCCUCACGGCACUCCCUCCCACCACAGGUGCUCGCUAGGGCAGGGAGAUUUCGCCACCCUCUCACAUGUGACUUCUCUUUCAUUUCGCUCAAGGCCCGUACUUCCCCGUGGGUGAUGUGGCUGCAGGGCGGGGACUCCCCUUCCAUCUGACCAUCUGAGCUCAGCCUUCCUGGCACUUCCGAGGGGCUACAGACCCCAGGCAGCGCCAGCGACAGGGACUCACAACCUCUCCGAUUUCAUGUAUCAGAAGAAGUCAGCCCCAGCGUGUCCACCAGUGGAUGGGCAGAUAAACAGAACAUGGCCCAUCCGUACUACCACCCGGCCGUGAAAAGGAAUGAAGGCCUGACACACGCCGCGACAACCAAAAACACCUUCCAGAAGCUUCCGCCACCCCCUCGGCCCCAGGAUGAAGUGAGAACAGUUGAGUGUGUGCGCCAAGGUCCUGCCUCGCCUGGCCACCGCGCGGCAAACAGCUCCCACGACUGUUUCCUAAAUAUCCCGCGCGCAGUCUGGACUCAGGGCUCUCGUGCUCGCUCUUCCCUCUCUUGGAAUGUCGCUUCCUUCCAUGACUUCCUGGCUCCCCCGGCCCUUCACUCAGGCCUCUGUUCAAGUCACCUCCCCAGGUGAGCCUUCCUGACCAUCCUCACUCUCUCUCCCCUCGCUUCUUUUCCUUCUUCGGGUGCACACCCUUGACAGUGCAUUUGCUCCACGGAUCUUGGGGUGAAAGUUGUCCAUGGAAAACAGCCCGACCCUGCCUUUACCUCCGCGAGUUUGUUCUACAUCUUUGCCCUCGAAGCCUGGAGGCGGGAGCCUGGCUUGAGCCCUCAGAACUGAUGACAGGAUGUUAAUUCCAUCGCUGCCCACCUCAGGAGCUGUCCAGGGGACCACAGGGAAUAUCAGUCUGCAUCUGAAAUGUGCCCACGAGGACAGAAGCUCCAGGAGAGCAGGGACUCAGACGUCUUACUCAUGGCUGUGUCUCCGGUAACUCAGCAUGGCAGAGGCCAGCUAUGUAUCUGCUAGAAACUGAUCACCCAGUCCCACACACGCACCUAGACUACAGGCCUUGUUACAUUGGUUUCCCUCUGAUUCACCCCAGUCAUUUCUUCAGCCCCUGCAGCCGUGCUGGCACACAGCAGGCGUUGGGGAAAGAUGGCAGGGCGAAAGAAAUAAAAGCCACAGGGUGCCGUGCGGUUUACGAAGCACGUUCACAUCUGCCAUGUGUCUCCCUGAAGGUAUGAGUGAAUGGGGCCCCGAGGAAGCCGUGGGAGCUGAGCCAGGCUGUGAAGAACCAAUUCCGAACUUGGCCGCUGGGCCAAGUUCACACCGCCAGUGAUCGAUGCAGCUUUUGAGAACGGGCUCUGGCAAAACGAAAGCUGGGCAGGAAAUGAACAGCCACUUAAUCCCUGAUCCAUAAAGACAAGCCAGAGGUGUACUCAGUGCCAGUAGAGAAUCACCUUUACACAUUCAGUUGCAUUCCAGGACUAAGCGGCCCAGUGUUGUUCCUUCCUAAAACAGCCCCUACCUCCCGUCCCAGGUCCACAGGGACACGUGAAAUCAAGACGCCCUGUUUAACCGGCAAAGCCCCACAGCAUCACUCUGUCCUAACCUCUUCCUGGGUUUCAUUAACACACCAGAUUUAAUUAGGAAGUGUUAAACUUUACAAGGCUAAGAAUUAUGAGGCCAUCACUUCAAGGUCAGGAUGAAUUAAAUUUGCUCAGAAGACAGAGGCCUACUGGAAAACUACAAAUGUAAUCAGAAUACUGAGGUGGGAGGGAAGGAUUCUGGGUUUAAGUGCCACCUGUACCUCCCUAGACGACCUUGCCCAAGCCAUGUCUUUGUCUGGAAGUGGAGGCCGGCCUCCUCGGAGCCCUAAAGAGCUAGACUGGGUUUCCUGGACAAGAAUGAGAAACCAACAGAAAGAUCCAAUCUCCAAAUUGAUCUCACUAGUGCUUGUGCUGAACAGGGAGUUUCUGACGCUGGGACACUGAGGUCUGGGUGAGAGCAAGCCACAGCCUGCCAGGACGUAACAUCACUUCCUGAUUUAUGGAGAUGCAAACGCUAUCCCAAAGUUGGACCCUGGAGUGGUGGAGGGGGAGGAAUCAGAAACAUCUGGGUCCAGGGAUGAGAUGCUGUCACUGCAGGAGCCAGAAAUUCUGCUUCCUCCAGGCUGCCUCCGGCCACGAUAACAACCUCUUACUCGUUGUACAUUUACGAUCCUCAACCAUCCAGGGCACUGGUCAAGGCAGAGAGCAUCACUCCUAAACUGAAGAAACAGGGCUCAGAGUCUAAGUGCUUGUUCAGGGUCGCCCAGCGGCUGGAAAGCUGGAAUGACCAUUUCCAGUCCAAUUCUCUCAACUGUCAAGUGCAGCUCCUGGAGAGGGGCAGGAAUGGAAUGAGCGGCUCAUGGUGGGGUUCAGGGAGAUAAGGUUAUUGGGCUCGAGUUACACAGGGGUAAAGCAAAGCCUGGUUCCUAGGCUUUCCCCAUUCAGAAUCAACUCCUGGGCUUGCUGACUAUUCUGGAACAAGGCUGCACAGCUCACAGGCCACUCCAUUUGAUUGGUGUUACCUCCAGGUCAAACGUUUUCACACGGGCAAUGGCUGUUUUUGUGACAUGGGGACAAGUCAGCUCCACUUUUGUGGAUAUCAGAACUGAGAAGCAACAAGCCAAUUCUGUUCAACCACAACGUGGGCUGGCUUUGUGGGAAAGGCUGUUCUGCAAAGUGACAACUGGUGUCCCGGGCCUCAAGAUAGGGAAGUCAGCACCGUCUGUGGCAGCGGCUGAUUUUGGUUUCUCACUCAGGUUUUUAUCUGGCAUCUCCUUGGGGAUGACAGGUCCCAGGGCAGGCAGCUGUCAGUCAUCAUUGCUAUCACCUUCUAGUGGGAUGGAAGGUCGGGCAGAGAAAGGCUCCAGACUCUUUCUUGCCAUUCCUUCUAGAAGAAAUUCACCCAUGGGGGAAACAGGGCCAGGGAGAGGGGCUUAACCCCUGAACAUUACAGAGGAAAGAGCAGGAGAGGGCUGGCUCUGGGAUGGAUCAGCCGUGCUUGCCCUGGGGAUGAGUGCUCCCAUCCGGUGGUCCAGUCUUGAUUUUGGGCGUUAGACCCACAAGGAUUCAAAUUCCAUCCUUGCCACCUGCAGACUGUGUGACCUUGGGUGAGUCGCAUGCCUCCUGGAGCCUCAAAUUCCUCAGUGAGGCUCAUAACAGCACCUAACACAAAGGACUGGAGGGUGUAAUAAUGCACAUAAAGGGGCUAGCGCACAGUACAUGCUUAAUAAGGUCAGAUGUCAAAGGCCUCUUCCUACGGCCAACUCCCCAAGCCUGUUUCACUUCUGUAAGACGCCGACCCCAAAACAACAGCUUCGAGGGCUGCUGUGUGGACAGCACGAGAUGACCGGCGCCAAAACCCCAGCCCAAGACCUGUACUUCCUGACGAGCAAGCUGAGAGUUGGGACCUCAGUCUCCCCAUCUGUAAAAUGGGCCCUCGGUUCCUAUCCCCUUCCUCAUAGCCCGGGAACCCCCGAAAAGAGGUGGAAGCGGUUGCUCUUUUCCCCUCCGGUCCCCUCGACCCUCUCUAAUCCCUGGAUCCGUCCGGCCCAGCCGCUCCCUCAGCCCCAGCCCUUCAGGGGCGCGCCCGGCCCGGGCCUCCGGCGUCCCCGGCCGCUCCCCGGCCCCGCUACCUAUGGUGGAGAUGAAAGUUGAGUUGAACGCGUCCUCGGAGAAGCGGAACAGGACACAGGUCUUCCCCACCCCCGAGUCCCCGAUCAGCAGCAGCUUGAACAGGUAAUCGUAGGUCUUCGCCAUAUUACACUCUCUCCCCGACGGGAAGUGCAGCCAGCGCCUCGCCACUGGCCGCUGGUUCCGUCCAUCAGCGCCGAGCCCGCCCCCUAUUGGCUCCCGGCCCGCGGCGCGUCACCCAGGCCGACACCCUCCCCCGCGCCCCGCCCGUCGCGGGGAGACGUGGGGAAGGGGAGAGCAAGGCGCGGUGCCGGAAGCGGCCCGAGCGCGCCGGUCAUUGGUCGGCGCUAGGGACAGGGCGGGCUGCAAUUGGCCAGCGGUGAAGAGUCCAGGGGCUUCAAAUGAAGACCAGGGGGGGGCGGGGCAUCGCGUGUCCCCGCCUUCUGCCCGCCCCCGACUUGGGGGCAGCCACGCCCCCGGGUGGGAGUGGGAGGGCGGGGAACGUCGCCAACGGCUCCGCGCGCCCGCAGUGGGGCGCGUGCGCAUGCGGCCCGGGAGACCGUUGGGUGCCGGCAGAGGGCGCACGCGCGGCGGGUUCUCCGGUUCCCGCCCUCACGGCCCGCGCAGCCUCCGUAGGCUCCGGGAAGAGCGCGGGAAGGGAGUGCGCGGGUGGCGGUGUCGUCUGGAGGGCGCUGCGUCCAUCCAGGGGGAACCGAAGAGGAAAGGAGAGUGGGGACGCUCGUCAUCGUCGAAGCGAGGCCUCUUCGGGACGUCUUCCGGGGUCUCGGCGCCGGCCGGGGGGACUACUCCGCCGCCUGAGCGGCUUCACUGCCACCAGCCGUACCCGCGGGAACUCCUCGCGACGCGCCUUUGGACCUAAUUAGGGACUGUCCAGACCACUGUCUGCCUGCAGUUCCCACCCCCCCCCCGACCCCCCGCCAAGCCUCAGCCGCCAGGGGAGCUAGGGUCGUGAGGAUGCUAGGAACAGUCACAUCGUUGUCCUUUGCCUGCCUGUUGUCGGCACGUACGAAAACUACACCGAAAGUCCUUAAUCCCCACCCUAACCCACUGGGGUCAGUAGUCUGAUUCUGCCUUUUUAUGCUGAGCAAACCGAGGCCAGAGCUUAAGGGACCCUCCCGGGUUCCAGAGGGAAGGUGGCUUUGAGCUGGGACACGCCAGCCUCGGAGGCCUGAGAUCCGGGUGGUGUCCUGCUUGUCAGAGGUGGGCGUUGGGAAGGCGUCUAGACUCACAUAAGGUUCCUGCCCAAGCCGGCCCUGGCCGCCCUUCCUGCCUCCCUCUAGGGCCAGCCCCGCUGAUCUGGCUGCUGGGGGGCGGCGGGGGGCGGGGGAGAGCUUCAAGCAGAGCCGCCGGCCACGUCGGCUUUGGCGUCUGUAACGUUGGGCGCUACCGACCACCUUCCUGGGACUUGGACCGUUCUACUGGCUGGUUUCUUCGGCCGCGACGCCUCCCUUCCCUGCAUGCUGCUGCUCAGAUCCCAUGGCAGUCUUUGGGGUUUCCACAUGCCCCUUAGGAGUUCCUCGCGGUUCUAGGUCUGUUCCGCCCUCUGGGUGAUCUCCUUCAAUACUGUGGCUGCUGAGAUCUCCGCACAGGUGAUUCUUGGAGGAAUCCACAUAGCCCGGCCAUCCUUCUGUGUCCAGCUGCUUUGUGGAUUUGGCAAAGGUACUUUGACAGGUCCACAACCGAACGUGUCAACUUCUAUUCAGACUGGCGUGGCCUGAAUCACCUUCCGAGUGAAACCGAAGCCCGGGUUCUAGUAGUUGUUGAAUCUUGCUCUUCUCUGCACUGGUCUCCUGGAUUAUUCUCGAAUCCAGAUUUCACUCUGUGGUAUGUUUGUUCUAAAACACUUACCCACUACCCGUUGGUGGUCGGUUGGGAUCAAGUCAUUGCCAUCUGGCCUUAACCUAGGUUAUACCUAGGUAUGCCCUAGGUUCCGCAUACACUUCAUGGGAUUGGGAAGCUCCCUGAGACCUGAGAUCAAUUUAACAAACACUGAAUACUUCUGUUGAAUGCGAGACUCCAGAUGGACUAUAACAGUAUCUGCAUUUUAGACUGCAGCCCCAGGGAGUGGGCAGGAGGGAGAGAAGGAACUUCAAUCUAGUGAUGGUAGGGCACCUAGAGAAGGGGAGGAUACUUUAUUCAUUGACAUUCCGUUUCUGCCAUCGAAACAAGCUCACAGCGUCCGCCAAAUGUUGAAUAUGAAGGAAAUGUUUUUAAUUGCACUUAGUGAGCAAAAAAUUGUCUACACACACGAAUGUUUGGCUUUCAAUUCUCUUUGACUCCUUAUCCCAUCAGAUCGUGAGACCAUUAUCAAAGCAAUUCUGGUAAUGAAACUGCAGUCACCUUUGACACUCUCUUCGAGUUACCUGCCAGCCAGUCAGCUGUCUCAAGUCAUCUUCCUCCAGAUCACUUCCUUUUCAUUCCCAGGCAAGCACUAUCUGGGAUUAACAGGAACCACUUCCUAACUGGCCACCCCGCCUCUAGUCUGCCCCCCCAUUCUAGUCCUUCCUGAAAAUGACUAAGUGGAUUUUCCUAAUGUGUUUCUUUGUUGAUUAGUCUUCAGCGGCUCUCCACUCCUGACCAAAUUAAGUUGGGGCUCUCAUCACUGUGGACCAGUUUACCUUCCAACUUUCCUCCUUCCUUCCUUUAUAUACGCAACACACAGAAGCCUUACGCAGGCAGGCCUUGUGCCUUCCUGACUCAAGCAACAGGGAGCAUUUUCCCUGCUCCUGUCUCAUCUAUUAAAAUCCUAGUUAUUCUUCACAGCCUGGCUUAGGCGGGACUGGGUGUAUAACAAAGGACAGGAGCUUUUGAAUUACUGAGGCCAAGUGCUCUCACCUGAAUAUAGAGGUAAUAAUCCUCCUAUCAUGAAGUCACGGUAUAAAGCAAAUAACAUUUGUUAAUCAUCUUGGCACAGUAAUCUUUCCAUCCUACUAACGUUCGCUGAACCAGAAUACCUUGUGUGUCCCCCCACCCCCAAACACAUUCUAAAGUUCACACAAAUGAUAGUUUAUGUAAAAAUUUAUUUGACCAAAAUGUAGAAAAAGUGAUACUAUUACAUAUGAUACAGUUGCAAGAAUCUAAAUGAAAGGUGUGCGUUUUAUUUAAUUGCACAAUUUGCUAGUGUACCUUCUGGGUAGUGUGAUGCUUAAUAAAUAGGAGUGAGGGGCAGAGAAUCUGGAUAAGCUAGAAGCAGGGUGAUUUUGUCAGAAUUGUAAACUUGAGUUGGCCCCCACACUGCUGGGGAAUGUGGAAUGUUUCAGCUCUGAGAUGUUACCCCAGAAAGCAGACAGACAACAAAGCCAAAAUGCAGCUGUGCCUACAAAAUGCUCCAUAUCCAGUUUAAUCAGGAGUUUCUUGGUCUUUCAUUAACUUGGUCCUGAAGAAGGAAUUAAAGUCCUACAUAAGUAAAUCUUCAGUUUGCUAUUCCCGGAAGUAUACAGGAGAGGAAGCGAGGCCCAUUGCUUUAUCUGUACUUUGCUGUCAGAGAGGACCCUUCUGCCCAGUAGUUGUCAGCAUUGCUCAAUUAUUGAUGGCUCGCAGUCUUUUUGAUAGGACUUCUCUGAAUGAGACUGAAUUCUGCCACAUUCAUUCCUGCUAAGCAGAUGGUCUCAGAUCAGAGCAGACAAGCAUGGGUCAUUAUUGGAAUAAGAGAUCUGCUCCUCAGAGAACCUCAGAAUGAAAGAAACCUGUAGAGGAACAUAGGAUCUAUCCAGAAAAUAUCUGGGUACUUAUUACGAUGAUUUCCCAAGCAUUCUCAUACUACCUGCCCAGAGGAUGUUUGUUCUGCAUGGUGGUGUGUGGGAAAGAGCCAGGAUGAUAAGGUUGAUCUAUGGUUUAUGACUUCCCACAAGGCAAGCCCUCUUCCCCCUCCUCCCUUUUUUUAUGCUCUGGAUGGAAAAUCCCUACCCAUUUUAAUGGGAUGGUCCCUGGCUACCUGUCGUGUGACCAACAGUGGCCCAGAAGGCUAUGUAUUCUGCGGCCUUUUAAGUUUACCUGUGACUAGACACUGGAGUUGUUUUUUGAAAGUAAAAGUUUGUCUAUUCUCCCAGGAACCAAACGCCCUCAGUCUCUAUAGGCGUAUGCUCAGUAUGAAAUACCCUGCCUACCUUAUGAAUAAAUGCAACUUAAAGAUAAAAAUAGAGCUGAAAAAG